GGCGAGAUGGCCGAGCGGUCUAAGGCGCCAGCUUAAGGUUGUUAUCAUCCAAAACGCUGGUCCGAAAGGGCGUGGGUUCAAAUCCCACUCUCGUCA
rnacentral:tRNA from 1 species